CCGUCUUCGGAGCCCUGGGACCUUCAGUGGAAUUGUUCCCAGAGCCAUCUGCUUGUCACAGUCAGAGUGACGAGUCAGGCGGGUGACAGCCUCUGGAGCCACAGCGUCCCAUCACUGGUGACUCGUGGCUUUCGAGAGUGACACACUGGCAGUGUCACAACCCCCAAGAGCAUAUUUUCUUCUUUAUUUGUCCGCCUGGGGAGGAGCAGCCUCGGGACACUGUCUGUACAUCAGCCAAGCAAAGCGCCUUUCUGCCUUUUUCCCAUUCCUGUUUUGCAACUACUGUUUCCAGCUGGGACGUGGAAAUGUACACAAGCAGUAUAUAUGGUUUAAAUAUUUACUUCUUGGAAAAUAAAGAUAGAGAAGACUUCAAGAUCUUCCUGGACUUGCUUUCCAGACUAUUUGACGUGGGGAGAAGACACAAGUGGCUGUGGAUGGCAGAGCGGGAGGUGGAAGUUCCCACUGGAAGGACAGCCCAUGUGAGGAUACAGACUGGAAGAUGCGGGGGUCUUUUGUCACCAGGCCCUCAUCUGGAGCCGAUUCUGGGAAGCCUGACACAGAAAGCUCUGUUUCUGCAGGGGCUGAGUUAGGGGAGUGGAGCUCCCAACAGGGAGAUGGGACAGUGGGGUUCCAGGGUGAGCUGUGCUGGAGUGACCCCGCCUCUUCAUCAGCAUCAGAAACACACCCAGAGCCUCCUGCACCUGCUGACUCUUUCACCCGCUGGUGGCCUUGAAUGCCAGAUGGCUGUCCUUGUGCUGGUUAGCAUGGAGCAGUAACCGCAGAGGUGUGGCUAAGUUUUCCCACCAUUCCCAGUGCACCAUGUUGGGAUUGUAUUCUUGCUUGCUGAGAGAGAGAAGAAUGAGCAGAUCCAGAAAAAUGCCUCCAAGGGGAGAUUCUGGCUGAAACUAACGUGGAGCAUAAGACGUGAAGCUGGGGUCAACACUGUGGCGUAGCAGGUUAAGCUUCUGCCUGAGAUGCCCGCAUCCCAUAUGGGCACCGGUUCAAGUCCUGGCUGCUCUAGUUCUGAUCCAGCUCCCUGCUAAUGCACCUGGGAAAGCAGCAGAGGAUGGCCCAAGUGCUUGUGUCCCUGCACCCAUGUGGGAGACCCAGAAGAAGUUCCAGGCUCCAGGCUCCUGGCUUCAGCUUGGCCCAGCCCUGGCUGUUGUGGCCAUCUGGGGGAGUGAACCGGGAGAUGGAAAACCUCUCAGAUCGCUCUCUCUAUAACUAUGCCUUUUAAAUAAAAUUUUAUUAAAAAAAAGCA
rnacentral:lncRNA from 1 species